rnacentral:rRNA from 1 species
GAUGAACGCUAGCGGCAGGCUUAACACAUGCAAGUCGAGGGGUAACAGGGAAGAGCUUGCUUUUCCGCUGACGACCGGCGCACGGGUGAGUAACGCGUAUAGAACCUACCUUUUACAGGGGAAUAGCCCAGAGAAAUUUGGAUUAAUGCCCUAUAGUAUUAUUGAAUGGCAUCAUUUAGUAAUUAAACAUUUAUGGGUAAAAGAUGGCUAUGCGUUCUAUUAGCUAGAUGGUAAGGUAACGGCUUACCAUGGCAACGAUAGAUAGGGGUCCUGAGAGGGAGACCCCCCACACUGGUACUGAGACACGGACCAGACUCCUACGGGAGGCAGCAGUGAGGAAUAUUGGACAAUGGAGGCAACUCUGAUCCAGCCAUGCCGCGUGCAGGAAGACGGCCCUAUGGGUUGUAAACUGCUUUUAUACGGGAAGAAACCCAACUACGUGUAGUUGGCUGACGGUACCGUAAGAAUAAGCACCGGCUAACUCCGUGCCAGCAGCCGCGGUAAUACGGAGGGUGCAAGCGUUAUCCGGAAUCAUUGGGUUUAAAGGGUCCGUAGGCGGGCUAAUAAGUCAGGGGUGAAAUCCAACAGCUUAACUGUUGAACUGCCUUUGAUACUGUUAGUCUUGAAUUAUAUGGAAGUAGAUAGAAUGUGUAGUGUAGCGGU